GUCCCUGUAGCGCAAUGGAUAGCGUGUUGGACUUCAAAUGCAAAGGUGGGUCGAAUCCCACCUGGGAUG